GUGGGGAAUAUUGGACAAUGGGCGAAAGCCUGAUCCAGCCAUGCCGCGUGUGUGAAGAAGGUCUUCGGAUUGUAAAGCACUUUAAGUUGGGAGGAAGGGCAGUAAGUUAAUACCUUGCUGUUUUGACGUUACCGACAGAAUAAGCACCGGCUAACUUCGUGCCAGCAGCCGCGGUAAUACGAAGGGUGUAAGCGUUAAUCGGAAUUACUGGGCGUAAAGCGCGCGUAGGUGGUUUUGUAAGUUGGAGGUGAAAUCCCCGGGCUCAACCUGGGAACUGCCUCCAAAACUGCAUGACUAGAGUACGGUAGAGGGUAGUGGAAUUUCCUGUGUAGCGGUGAAAUGCGUAGAUAUAGGAAGGAACACCAGUGGCGAAGGCGACUACCUGGACUGAUACUGACACUGAGGUGCGAAAGCGUGGGGAGCAAACAGGAUUAGAGACCCCGGUAGUCC
rnacentral:rRNA from 1 species